UAUUGGUCUAUUAAAACAGUAUGAAAACUUUCCAGUAUUUAUAUUUGAUGUCUUUUUUUCAUUUUAUUUUAUAAUUGUAAUUUAAGUUUCAAAAAGCAGCAAAAACAACUUGAAAAGAACUAUCGCACAAUGACUCGCUUAAACACAGGAUUCCAAUUUCCUGAUAUACAUGGAAAUGCUGAUAUUGCUUUAACUAUAUUGUCUCUUUGUAAUGUGUAACAUCAUUUUUACUUAGGUUUGCCAAAUGACCGGCUUUUACAGAGUAGAAUAUAGUCCCAAACAUAUACAGUUCAGUUCUUUUACUGCUUUCUUCUUCAUAAAAGCCGGACGUCUUGCAACCCUUGAAUUUCCCCUUCUUUUUGUUUGCAUAAAUUACAUAAUUCUCUUAAUUAUAAAUACUCCAAAUCCGAUUUUCGAACAGCGUAUUUUAAAAUCUAAAGAAAUAUAAGCGAUUAAAGAUUACAUUUUGCAAGCCAACUGGAUGCUUAAACAACUCAAAAGACAGCCACGCGCUCAUUAUAGCUCUCUUAUAGUUUUAGAAUCUGAAAAUGAACACACAAGAAAAUUUAAACGACGAUGAUGGUGACUUUUUUAGAA
rnacentral:lncRNA from 1 species